AACGAACGCUGGCGGCAGGCUUAACACAUGCAAGUCGAACGCAUCCUUCGGGGUGAGUGGCAGACGGGUGAGUAACGCGUGGGAACGUGCCCUUCAGUUCGGGAUAACCCAGGGAAACUUGGGCUAAUACCGGAUACGUGCGAGAGCAGAAAGAUUUAUCGCUGAAGGAUCGGCCCGCGUCUGAUUAGCUAGUUGGUGAGGUAAUGGCUCACCAAGGCGACGAUCAGUAGCUGGUCUGAGAGGAUGAUCAGCCACAUUGGGACUGAGACACGGCCCAAACUCCUACGGGAGGCAGCAGUGGGGAAUAUUGGACAAUGGGCGCAAGCCUGAUCCAGCCAUGCCGCGUGAGUGAUGAAGGCCUUAGGGUUGUAAAGCUCUUUCGUCCGGGACGAUAAUGACGGUACCGGAAGAAGAAGCCCCGGCUAACUUCGUGCCAGCAGCCGCGGUAAAAC
rnacentral:rRNA from 1 species